GUUUUUUAGAAUUACAAAAUAAUAAUACAGCAUACUAUAGUUUACAAAUACCAUCAGUAAAGAAAAAUGUAUAGGGAUGGGUGGUUUGGUGCAGUGGUUAAGACACUGUUUGGAAUGGCCCAAAUCCCAUAACAGAGUGUCUGGGUUUGAGUUCUGGCUCUAAUUGCAACCUCCUGUUAAUGCACACCCUGGAAGGUGGCAGGUGAUAGCGCAAGAACUUAGGUCCCUUCUGCCCAUGAGGGAGUCCAGACUGAGUUCCUACCUUCUACUUUCAGGCUGGCUGUUGAAAGCAUUUGGGAAGUAAACCAAAGUAAACCAACAGAUACAAGAUAUUCUCUCUCUCUCUCCACCCCCCACCCCGACCCUAUGCUGUUGCCUUUCAAUAACUUAUUUCUUAUUUAAAAAUAACAUUUUAUUAAAAAAAGAAAAUUGAUUGAUAAAAAAGGUGAAACCCGGUAGUCAUAAGCUCGAUAAAGUAGUCAAGUAUAUUUUAUUGUUCAUAUAUUUUUAUUCCCUUCAAGAUCACUUCACUUUCCUAUACAUGAAUCACUGAUCUAUUGAAGUACAUACUAAACACUGUCUUUCUUUCUAAGGAUAAAAAUUAAGAUCAGAGUCAGUAAUAUUAUCCAUACUCCAAAAUAUAUUUUGAUAAGUAAUGAGAACUCAUCAAGAAGGAAUCACUGGACAUUUUAGUCUAUUAAUCAAGAACACUCUUCUGGUAUUACAUGUACUGAUCUUCUUGUAUUAUUUUUCUCAUUAAACCUUAUACUGUAUGUCUACUAAUUUCCUGAAAGCUUACUCCUAACCAAAGGUGUGAAGUUUGUAUUAUGUCUGCCUAGGCAUUGUCAGGAACAGCAGUCUAUCGGGCCAUUCCAGGAUUUUCAAAGUGGUCAGAAUUCAAGACAUGGUUCCUCCAGGAUCUGAAUUGCCAUCUGUUACAAAUGCUUGCUCUCCCAAAUCAACAGACUCACCGGGAAAGGCACAGGAAUCUGGACUCUUGUAUUGUUCUCUACCCCUCUUAUCCAAUUGAGAAAUCAACAGCAUUACGUAUUCAGCAAGAUUCCCUAAAUUAAAGAAGCGUACACAUGCUGUGUGACUCCUUCCCUACAGACUCACUGUAACACUCCAGACUAAUUAUUUCACUCAGAAGAGCCUUUGUGGAACCGCUGUGUAAAGGCUGCAAGGCUUGAUUUCUUCUUUUCCAAGGCUCUGUUUAGUCUGUUGCUAUUACAGUGACAACUUUGUUGAGCUGCUCUCAAGUUCCAGAGACCCAUCUCUAAGCUGAGGCAUUACUUGAGCUCCCAAAGAAACAUUGCUCAAUGCCGAAGAAAUUAAAAAUGUGAUUAGUCUACAAAUCUCCUGGACAAUCGCAGCCCCAUCUCCUUGCAGGACAGCAAUUGCAAGAGCCUGAGAGCAAUUUCUCGCUGAGAUUCCAAGAGCAUGCCAGUAUUUUCUUGGUAUUUCAAAGAGCUGUAAUGAAGAAAGUUCAGGGAACAAAGGCUGAAUAGCAAUUUGCUCUGAAGAUGACAUACAGAAAGAAGCAGAGUGGAGUAGAAGAGGCAAGGGGGAAUGAAGAAUCUUCUUUAUUGUCAUAAAUUUCUACAUUAUUUGAAAGAGUUUCUUCUCUGAUAUUGGUGGAAAAGCAGCAAUUUGAUGAGCAGAGCUAUGUUUGCAUUAAUUCAGUAUAUGGUACAUCAGAGGAAAAAUAAUAGUGAAUUUUGUUUACUGGAGAUGUGGUGAUUUUUAUUUUCAUAUUUUGCCUUUGGUAUUUCUUUUUUUCUAAAAUAUUAGUAUGCAAAUUAUAAAUAAGUAAAUAUAUCUUAAAGUAAGACCAAAAAGCAGGCGUCAUGAAUUUGAUCUGUUCUCCCACCACAGGUCAGGUCUCCUCAUUCAGUCCCUUAUGAUUCAAUUAUUUAUAAUGUCUACUAUAUCUAUCUUAAUUUCAGAACUUCAUUAUUCUAUGUAUGAGAGGAGAAGGACUCAAAUUAUAGAAAUCACUAAAUUAUGACAAGAAAAGGGGAGUGAUUUAUUCAGUAGCAAGAUAAGUCUUAUACUCAUAUCUUGGAACAAAGCCAAGAAAAAUUAGUGGAUAUUAAAAAGGGUGGGAGGCUGGUGUU
ensembl:lncRNA